GACGUAGGGUGCGAGCGUUGUCCGGAUUUAUUGGGCGUAAAGAGCUCGUAGGCGGCUCGUCGCGUCGACCGUGAAAACCCGCGGCUUAACUGCGGGCUUGCGGUUGAUACGGGCGGGCUAGAGUUCGGUAGGGGAGACUGGAAUUCCUGGUGUAGCGGUGAAAUGCGCAGAUAUCGGGAAGAACACCCGUGGCGAAGGCGGCUCUCUGGGACGGUACUGACGCUGAGACGCGAAAGCGUGGGGAGCGAACAGG
rnacentral:rRNA from 1 species